UAGGGAAUCUUCCGCAAUGGGCGAAAGCCUGACGGAGCAACGCCGCGUGAGUGAUGAAGGUCUUCUGAUCGUAAAACUCUGUUAUUAGGGAAGAACAAAUGUGUAAGUAACUAUGCACGUCUUGACGGUACCUAAUCAGAAAGCCACGGCUAACUACGUGCCAGCAGCCGCGGUAAUACGUAGGUGGCAAGCGUUAUCCGGAAUUAUUGGGCGUAAAGCGCGCGUAGGCGGUUUUUUAAGUCUGAUGUGAAAGCCCACGGCUCAACCGUGGAGGGUCAUUGGAAACUGGAAAACUUGAGUGCAGAAGAGGAAAGUGGAAUUCCAUGUGUAGCGGUGAAAUGCGCAGAGAUAUGGAGGAACACCAGUGGCGAAGGCGACUUUCUGGUCUGUAACUGACGCUGAUGUGCGAAAGCGUGGGGAUCAAACAGG
rnacentral:rRNA from 1 species